GUGUGCGUUUCUAUGAACGUGAUGCGCAUCAUGUAGCUGAGGAGAACGACCUCCACGCACUGCACUCCUUGACCCUGCCACUCUGCACCGCGACACUCCGCUGCAUUCCAGGACGUGGCCAGCAGGCUGCCGUCGGUGUUGAAGGACAUGCAGAGGAUGACGUCUGAGUGGCAGUCAAUCAUCUUCACCGGCUCGCCGAUCUCCAGGUUCCAGAUCAGGAUCUGGCGAUGCCACAUCCUCACAGCGCCAUAUGAGCCAGGAGUCUGGAGGAAAGGCUGAGGAGAUAGUCACGCCUGAAUGGAUGACUGUAAACUUACUAUGAAAUUUUGUAUUGUAGACUACAUUAGUGGUGGUAAAAGUGCAGUAUGUAGCACAGCAGUGCACACACACACACACACACACACACACACACACACUCACACAC